CGAUUAAAAAAAGAAAAAAAUGUGGUCGAUGACGUCAGAUUCUUUUUCUCAAACCCAAUCCAAUCCGAGAGCAGCAAAUCACUUCCUGCAUCCAAACUUCACAUUAAAACGCAACUUCGAUUGAACUCUUACUAUUGUCACAAUCAAAUUUUUAAUAGUUGCAGUUUUCCUUCAAGAUACAAGAUUAUGGAACAGGGGCGUGCAGAGGGCGGGGCCAACGGGGUGGCAGCCCAGAGCAUCCACAGCGCCCCACCGGGCCGCCACACACCACCGCCCUCCGGUAGAAAAAAAGGUGCCAGUAUGUCGCCAAUCAAUAAUAGAUUAUUGCGAAUUUUGAGGGAGCAUCCUGCUGGGAUAGAGAGGGCAUAUAGUUUGCUCGAAAACCUUUAAGGCUCAUCUUUAUACGUCCAGUAUUUGCAAAAUCCAAUCUGGCCUUUCAAAUCUUUUUUCUGAUGAGUAAUUUGCAUAUUAUAGUAUGACCUGUAUAUUUAAUUCUUCUUUCAGCAGCGGAUUGUGAUAUCUUCACCACUUUGCUGCAUAACAAUGAAAAUAUGUUAUCAUCAAAAUAAACUACCGGUAGUUUACAUUGGCAUUUGAGUUUAAAAAUUUUCCUGAUCUGGGCCAUGUGUCAUUUUUAAAAAUCAAAUGCAGCCCCUGAGGAUAAAUAUUCAUCAACCCAUAAGAUAAAGUCUCUUGUGGAAACCUAAAAUAAUUCAUUUGGACUAUUUUCAUUAACCUAAAAUUCAGCUAGGUCAUUAAAUAAAUAUUAAUCAUACAUUCUGAUUCACAUGAUGAUGCACAUAGGUCUGGCAGUAUGGUUGAUACGGACACUUGUAGAACAAUAGCAGUCUUGUCUUGUUCAUCCACUAAUACAAACCACUACAGUAGGUGAUCCUUGGAUUUUAGGCAACACAAAAGUAAUUCAUAGUCCGCCAAUCCAACAAUUUUUUGAAACUCUUAACAACCACAACAUAUCAUGCCUUUGCUUACUUUCACAAAUAUGGUGGUUAUGCUAUAACCUCAUCACUUUUGAAUACACACACAACAUUUUACAACUGAGACCAUGGAUAUGGACCAACUGCUGCGUUAAACUGUGAGAGGAAAGAACAGGGAACAUGCAACUUUUGAUAAAUCAGACUUUAUUGCAGGAAUCAACAAUUACAGCAAAAAUGUAGAGGGUCAAAAUAAUCCAAACGCAUUAGGCAACGUAGAUG